UACGUAGUGGCAAGCGUUAUCCGGAUUUACUGGGUGUAAAGGGAGCGCAGACGGAACUGCAAGUCUGAUGUGAAAGCCCGGGGCUCAACCGCGGGACUGCAUCGGAUACUGUGGAUCUGGAGUGCCGGAGGGGCAAGCGGAAUCCCUGGUGUAGCGGUGAAAUGCGUAGAUAUCAGGAGGAACACCGGCGGCGAAGGCGGCUUACUGGACGAAGACUGACGUUGAGGCUCGAAAGCGUGGGGAGCAAACAGGUUUAGAUACCCUGGUA
rnacentral:rRNA from 1 species